GACGAACGCUGGCGGCGUGCUUAACACAUGCAAGUCGAGCGAUGAAAGCCUUAUGAACUAUUCGUAGUGAUUGGGGCCGGAUUAGCGGCGGACGGGUGAGUAACGCGUGAGCAACCUGCCUUAAACAACGGGAUAGCCUCGGGAAACCGGGAUUAAUACCGUAUGAGACCCCGCCUUCACAUGAAGAAGAGGUUAAAGAUUUAUCGGUUUAAGAUGGGCUCGCGUCUGAUUAGCUAGUUGGUGAGAUAAAAGCCCACCAAGGCAACGAUCAGUAACCGGCUUGAGAGAGUGAACGGGCACAUUGGAACUGAGACACGGUCCAAACUCUUACGGGAGGCAUGAGUGGGGAAUAUUGCACAAUGGGGGAAACCCUGAUGCAGCGACGCCGCGUGAGCGAUGAAGGAAUUCGUUUCGUAAAGCUCUGUCCAAGGGGAAGAUAAUGACAGUACCCUUGGAGGAAGCCCCGGCUAAAUACGUGCCAGCCGCCGCGGUAA
rnacentral:rRNA from 1 species